rnacentral:rRNA from 1 species
ACGGGAGGCAGCAGUGGGGAAUAUUGCACAAUGGGGGAAACCCUGAUGCAGCAACGCCGCGUGAGUGAUGAAGUUCCUUGGCAUGUAAAGCUCUAUCAGCAGGGAAGAAAAUGACGGUACCUGACUAAGAAGCCCCGGCUAACUACGUGCCAGCAGCCGCGGUAAUACGUAGGGGGCAAGCGUUAUCCGGAUUUACUGGGUGUAAAGGGUGCGUAGGUGGUAUGGUAAGUCAGAAGUGAAAACCCAGGGCUUAACCUUGGGAUUGCUUUUGAAACUAUCAAACUAGAGUACAGGAGGGGUAAGCGGAAUUCCUAGUGUAGCGGUGAAAUGCGUAGAUAUUAGGAAGAACACCAGCGGCGAAGGCGGCUUACUGGACUGUAACUGACACUGAGGCACGAAAGCGUGGGGAGCAAACAGGAUUAGAUACCCUGGUA